UACGAAGGGUGCAAGCGUUGCUCGGAAUUAUUGGGCGUAAAGCGCACGUAGGCGGCUUAGCAAGUCGGAUGUGAAAGCCCUCGGCUCAACCAAGGAAGUGCAUCCGAAACUGCUGAGCUUGAGUACUUAAGAGGAUCGCGGAAUUCCCGGUGUAGAGGUGAAAUUCGUAGAUAUCGGGAGGAACACCAGUGGCGAAGGCGGCUUCCUGGACCGGUUCUGACACUGAGGAGCGAAAGCGUGGGGAGCGAUCCGG
rnacentral:rRNA from 1 species